AGUUAUCAUAAUAUCUGAUUUUAAAACUUCAAUAAUUUUACUGGUGAAAUUGAAUUUUGAUUGUUACAGAUUACUGGAAUGCAGCACCUCAGCCAAAUUCGAGACCAAGAGAUGUUUGGUAGCUUCAUCUGAAAAUAAUGAUGAUAAUAAUAAUUGUCUUAGUUGUAUGAACAUCACUAGAAAAACUUCUUUUGAAACUUAAUGUUUAUGUUUUUGUUACUAUUGAACAUUUCGCACAAAAGAUAACGUUGGAGAUAAGCCACACUAGGUAGAUAGGACUCAUAGUGUGGACUCUUCAUACACUUGGUUCACAAGACAGAGCACAAUACCAGAGAGAGUAUUUCACUAGUGUGUUGCUGCGCGGCUUCGUAAUGAAACUGUUACAGAGAUGUGUCUAUGCUACAGCCAUCACAUUCUUGAUUUUGAGUGUACUAUUCGAAGAAGUAGAUGCACGAAGGAAAAUUCUUCGUGGAAGAAAAACCAUCACUAGAACAUAUUACACUGCAGUUCAUUACUAUCUUCGGAGAAUAAAGCGCUUUUUUUGGCCAAACGAACAGGAGACAGCUCUAGAAAAGCGAUUACAAAACGAAUUGCGUCUCCCAGGAGGCACAGCUAUCCCAGCCUGGGCAAUCAUAGUAAUAGUGGGUGGAUGCCAGCUGAUAGUGGGUGGCAUACUGUAUCUGAUAAUGAGGAAGAUGGUGCUAGGAGGCAGCAGCACAGCAGUUGGAUCGUACGACACAGGUGACGUCUAGCACCACCCAGGGCAGCGGCUUCUUCAACUAAUUGCAUUAUAUUAUUUUACAACAAAUUAAAAAUGUUUAUUUAUUGAUAUGAUGUAAUUUUUUUUUAAAUAAAUGCUUUCGUAGGUAAA